UACAGAGGUCUCAAGCGUUGUUCGGAUUCAUUGGGCGUAAAGGGUGCGUAGGCGGCGCGGUUAGUCGGCGGUGAAAGCCCGAGGCUCAACUUCGGGUCGGCCGUCGAUACUGCCGCGCUGGAGCACUGUAGAGGCAGAUGGAAUUCCGGGUGUAGCGGUGGAAUGCGUAGAGAUCCGGAAGAACACCGGUGGCGAAGGCGGUCUGCUGGGCAGUUGCUGACGCUGAUGCGCGACAGCGUGGGGAGCAAACAGG
rnacentral:rRNA from 1 species